rnacentral:rRNA from 1 species
GGGCCCGCACAAGCGGUGGAGCAUGUGGUUUAAUUCGAUGAUACGCGAGGAACCUUACCAGGACUUAAAUGUAAGUUGCAUGAUUCAGAAAUGGAUCUUUCUUCGGACUACUUACAAGGUGCUGCAUGGUUGUCGUCAGCUCGUGCCGUGAGGUGUCAGGUUAAGUCCUAUAACGAGCGCAACCCCUAUCGUUAGUUGCCAUCAAGUAAUGUUGGGUACUCUAGCGAGACUGCCGGUGCAAACCGUGAGGAAGGUGGGGAUGACGUCAAAUCAUCACGGCCCUUACGUCCUGGCUACACACGUGCUACAAUGGCCGGUACAGAGGGACGCUACCAGGUGACUGGAUGCAAA